AUUGAACGCUGGCGGCAGGCCUAACACAUGCAAGUCGGGCGGAGCGGCGGACGGGUGGGUAAUGUAUGGGGAUAUGACUGACGGAGGGGGAUAACUAAUGGAAACGGUUGCUAAUACCGCCAACUCGCAGGUGAGGCGAGGGUGGAUUAGCUAGUGGGUGGGGAAAAGGCAUACCAAGGCGACGAUCCGUAACUGGUCUGAGAGGAAUAUCAGUCACACUGGAACUGAGACACGGUCCAGACUCCUACGGGAGGCAGCAGUGGGGAAUAUUGGACAAUGGGCGAAAGCCUGAUCCAGCCAUGCCGCGUGUGUGAAGAAGGUCUUCGGAUUGUAAAGCACUUUAAGUUGGGAGGCGUUACCAACAGAAUAAGCACCGGCUAACUUCGUGCCAGCAGCCGCGGUAAUAC
rnacentral:rRNA from 1 species